UACGAAGGGGGCUAGCGUUGCUCGGAAUCACUGGGCGUAAAGGGUGCGUAGGCGGGUCUUUUAAGUCAGGGGUGAAAUCCUGGAGCUCAACUCCAGAACUGCCUUUGAUACUGAGGAUCUUGAGUUCGGGAGAGGUGAGUGGAACUGCGAGUGUAGAGGUGAAAUUCGUAGAUAUUCGCAAGAACACCAGUGGCGAAGGCGGCUCACUGGCCCGAUACUGACGCUGAGGUACGAAAGCGUGGGGAGCAAACAGGG
rnacentral:rRNA from 1 species